CCUACGGGGGCAGCCAGGGGGUGUGUUGUUUCUGAAGAGGAGCAAGCCAUAGAUGCCGGCCAAAAGGAGCGGCAAAUUGGAAACGACGUCAAAAAAGUUGGGAGGACCGAAAAAGGAACGAUCAUCCGCAAAUUCAUAAUACGCUUUAGAUGGGGGAAUGCGACCCUAUAGACCCCAUGCUAUAAUAAAUAUUACAGAGAUAAGGAGCAUACCCCAGCGAUAUGUGAUCGCUGGAAGGAACACGCAGUACCUGAAAACGACCCCACUUUAUACUUCAUUUUCCUAUGAAUACAAGAGAAUAACUCUUGUGAUCGAACUCUUUGAUCAAUCAUGAAUUGGAACACAAAUGUUUUUGACACCAUCCGGAAAAGAUGAUACCCCAGUAGUC
rnacentral:rRNA from 1 species